rnacentral:rRNA from 1 species
UACGUAGGGUCCGAGCGUUGUCCGGAGUUACUGGGCGUAAAGCGCGCGCAGGUGGUUCCCUAAGCCCGGCGUGAAAGCCCCCGGCUCAACCGGGGAGGGUCGUCGGGGACUGGAGAACUUGAGGGCGGCAGGGGCUGGUGGAAUCCCCGGUGUAGUGGUGAAAUGCGUAGAGAUCGGGGGGAACACCGUGGCGAAGGCGGCCAGCUGGGCCGACCCUGACACUGAGGCGCGAAGGCGUGGGGAGCCGAA